GAUGAAGAACGUAGCGAAAUGCGAUAAGUAGUGUGAAUUGCAGAAUUUAGUGAAUCAUCGAAUCUUUGAACGCACAUUGCGCCCUUUGGUAUUCCUUAGGGCAUGCCUGUUCGAGCGUCAUCUACACCCUCAAGCACAGCUUGGUGAUGGGCGCCUGUCCCGCCCCCCACGGGGGCGCGGACUCGCCUCAAAUGCAUUGGCGGCCGGCGACCUGGCUUCGAGCGCAGCAGAAACGCGUACUCGGGACCGGGCGCCCGCUCCCAGAAGCCAACCCACCCAGUUUGACCUCGGAUCAGGUAGGGAUACCCGCUGAACUUAAGCAUAUCAAUAAGCGGAGGA
rnacentral:misc_RNA from 1 species